UACGUAGGGGGCAAGCGUUGUCCGGAUUUAUUGGGCGUAAAGAGCGUGUAGGCGGCCAUGUAGGUCCGGUGUGAAAACUCGAGGCUUAACCUCGAGAUGUCAUCGGAAACCAUUUGGCUAGAGUCCGGAAGAGGAGAGUGGAAUUCCUGGUGUAGCGGUGAAAUGCGCAGAUUUCAGGAAGAACACCAAUGGCGAAAGCAGCUCUCUGGGACGGUACUGACGCUGAGACGCGAAAGCGUGGGGAGCGAACAGG
rnacentral:rRNA from 1 species